UGAUGCUACGUUCGCCGCGCAUGCGCGAGAAAACCCGGCCCGUCUCACAACUCACACACUGCCUGCUACCACUACCACUGUAAUACCGCCAAGCACUAUACUCGGGCAGGACGAGAAGGAAAAUCAAAGACCGAGACGAUCUAGGAAGCAGAGCCAACCGAGACAGGUGAAACGGCAUUCCCGGCGCAAUCUAAUACCUGCAGUAGUUGAACUGCUUGAAGCACAAUCUGCAAAUCCAUCUCAUAAAUUGAAGGUAUGUUGUAUUUGAAAUAUUUAAGUAAAAAUAUAUAUUUUUAAUCUAUUAUAUAUAUCUAUUAUAUAAAUCUAUAUUUUUGCUCUAUUAUAUACAUAUACUCGAAUAUAUGCUUACAAAAGAUUUUUAGAUUUCGAAGAAAGCACCCAUAAAUUAAUAAAAAUGCGACUGAAACCCAGACAGGAAAUCGAACUAUUGGUAAUGCACAAAAUUCUAUAAAAAGUAAUACAAUGAACAAAUAAGUCAAUUAUAAUAUACUAAUUUGUACAAAAGAUAAUAAUCAUAAAAAAUAGUUCUCUUAUAUGUUUGUAACACCAAGUUCUUGUAAUAUAUGUAAAUUAAAAAGAGUUUUUUUGUA